UCUGCAAAAAAAGCAUCACGGAGAUAUACUUGCACCCAUUGUGUGCGAUCUAAGUAUAUCACUUGAAGCCAAUCAUGAUCCCUCAGCUCAUACUUGUCAACAAGAGAAAGCCAACAGGAUUCAAAUUCCUCAGUAGACUCUGUCAAAUUGACACAUUUGUGGAAGUCUGCUUCAAAAUUUGGGUGCUCAAGGAAGACAUGUGACAACUUCUCCUGGCAUUUCUUGAAGAUGUGCCAUUUGCAGAAACGGUGACGGGUCUCAGGGAAAACCUG
rnacentral:misc_RNA from 1 species